rnacentral:rRNA from 1 species
AUACGGAUACUUAUUACAUAUGGACUAGAACUUAUAUAAUUCUAAAAAUAAAACUGAGUGGCAAUUCAUGAGCCCUAGUAGAGGGGUAUGUUCAUUAAUCGAUACUACACGAAAAUCUUACCUUCUAUUGAAUCUUCAUUUCAUACACCUCCGUCUGAAGAGUUUGUAUAAACUCCUUAACUUAUAUAGUCUUAAGUCAGGUCAAGGCAUGAAUGAUUGGAAGGGUUGAAUGUAUCUUAUUUUUCAAGUCAGCUUUAUUCUUGCAAAGAAUAAAUAAGAAAAAUUUACAAGUAACAAAUUUUUAUUAUAAUUUUGUGAAUCUGUAACUCUGUAUGU